UCCGGGUCAUUCCUGAAUCGGUUUUGUAUUGUCGGCUGAUUCCCAGGAUGACGACUUCCAAAAUGACCGCCCGUAGGGAGUUCCUGAGCUCUAGUCGAUGUUUCUGACCCCCCGAUAGAGAUGUCUUCCUUUCGACCUGCCUCAUCAACUCAGCAAAGCCUUCUUUGAUAAAUUUGUCAAUCUUAUUAUAUAUGAUAAACCGUUCCAUUUCAGCUCGAAACUGAUUCUGGGAUUCUACCACAAAGUUCCUCACAUCGCUACCAUGGCCUUGGUUGUCGACAAGUGAAUGAUCCUGCCUUCCCUAAAGGGGUCGUAAGGAAACAGAAGGGGAAAGAACUACUAUAAACUAUCCCAUCCUACACGGUGAACUGAUCUGCGGCGCUAUUUCUCUAAUUGACUGUCCUCGAUCUUGGAACAUGAUAGCAACAUUUAUCGUUUAACAUAAAACAAUGACAGAGUCGACUCUUUCCAACUUCGACUCAGUCGAACAUGUUCCCUCCCCUCUGAAAGAUAGAACUUCAGCUUCCCGUAAGGAAACCCAUCAACCACCGCCCGCCGGGUGCAACAGUCCCACACAGGGAUUUGUGUAGACGGAUAGAAUGUCUGUUUUCUUCCUUUCGGUCCCUACCUAAAAGAGCUCUCUUAAUUGGAUCCUAUUCGACGCGGUCGCUGGAGAGGAUUCCCCAUGGGAGUAACAAGUGCUCCGCGAUACAAUUGCGGUUAUGUUUGUUUUUUUUUUUGUGUUUCUUGGUUCUUUGGCUUUGACGAUUUAAAUAUUAAGCCUCACCCAGAAGGAGCGAUAAGAGAUAAAUAACAAAUAGAUACAAAUAUGAAAACACUCGCCGUGAAUUGUUCACAUCCGGCAAUAAAUAAAUUGGCUUAAAUUUUUGAUAUAAAUAAAUAAAUAAUCGUGCAAUAGAUACUGUGCAAUAAAUAGGUUAAUUUUA